AACUCUAUAUCCCUCCUUUUGGUGGGAGACUUGUCGGUUGUGCCCUUGGGUACUCUGAUUAAAUACAGUAGGUCUGGAUUAGGCUGGUGGCCUAGGACACUAUGUGCUAGAGACGUCGCGUUAGUUGACCGUCUUCUCAUGGUGCGUCCUAGGCUGUUAAGCUGGCCUAGUCAAGCCUCUACAGUCUAUGCCUUGUGCGUAGACAACCCCCCU
rnacentral:misc_RNA from 1 species